ACUCAAAUGAAUUGACGGGGGCCCGCACAAGCGGCGGAGCAUGUUGCUUAAUUCGAUGCAACGCGAAGAACCUUACCUACGUUGAACUACGCAGGAAAAGCCGUGGAGACACGGUGUCCGAAAGGGCCUGCGAUAGGUGGUGCAUGGCUGUCGUCAGCUCGUGUCGUGAGAUGUUGGGUUAAGUCCCGCAACGAGCGCAACCCUUUUCCUAUGUUGCCAGCGGGUAAUGCCGGGGACUCGUAGGAGACUGCCGGGGUCAACUCGGAGGAAGGUGGGGAUGAAGUCAAGUCUGCAUGCCCCUUACGCGUAGGGCUGCUAACAUGCUACAAUGGCCGGUACAAAGGGCUGCUAAUCCGCGAGGAGGAGCGAAUCCCAAAAAGCCGGUCUCAGUUCGGAUUGGAGUCUGCAACUCGACUCCAUGAAGUCGGAGUCGCUAGUAAUCCCGGAUCAGCUACGCCGGGGUGAAUACGUUCCCGGGCCUUGUACACACCGCCCGU
rnacentral:rRNA from 1 species